GGGCGAAGCUGACGCAGCGACGCCGUGUGGGCGAUGAAGGCCUUCGGGUUGUAAAGCCCUGUGAGGUGGAAAGAAGGGUCCAGAGGUUAAUACCCUUUGGACCUUGACGGUACCACCAGAGGAAGCACCGGCUAACUCCGUGCCAGCCGCCGCGGUAA
rnacentral:rRNA from 1 species